CAACUUUCGUCCUAUCCGAGUUUAUUGCGACAUGCAAACUAUGGGAGGAGGGUGGACGACAAUCCAAAAGAGAAUCGACGGAUCCCUACGCUUUAAUAAACGGUGGGUGGAUUUUAAAAAUGGUUUCGGUGCUCCAGAAAAGAACACCUGGAUCGGAAAUGACGUAAUCCACCAGCUGACUAAAGGACACACAUCCUCUCUUUAUAUAUCAAUCACACUUGUGAAUGGCACCACAUUAUAUGAGCUUUAUGAUCGAUUCUUCGUUGAUCACGAAUUCAACAAAUAUCAACUUCGUCUGGCGGGAAGUGCAACAGGAAC